AGUCCUGACAAACGUUAGCCAAUCACGAUGCCGGAAGAAUAGUAUGUGCGUAGCAGAGAGAAGCCAGAGUGGCCCAAGCCACUCGAUCGAGACGCUGCGUGCGCCGCGCGCAUGCGCCGCGGCCGUCCUGUUCACGCCGCUACGCAGUGGCAUGGAGACGGUCGGUGAGCCGGCGAGCCGGUCGGUCAAGUAGGACGGCGCGUAGUUGUCUCGCGUCGCGGCGCAUUUCAACCUGUAUCUUCGUCGUCUCGUGCGAGUGUUUGACGCGAGCGAGUGUAUCGAGAGUGCCGUGGAGUGUCGAGAGCGAAGGUGAAGUGUCGGCCGUUCGUGUCAACAUUCGUCGUGUCGGUUACGAUGUAUGGUGGGAAGUCGUGUGGCGUUCAAUCGUGUUUUGCAUCCUCUCCGUUGUCUCGUAUCUCGAAUUUUCGACGGGCGUGAGUACCGGGAGGGUCGAAAACGAAGAGUUAUGCGUUCGUACCAAGUGUGAAUCGAUCUUGGAUCCCCCGUGCCGCUCAGACGACAACUGUGUCGGUUGGUCGGGACGGAGCGAGGUCGCUCGUGUGUUCAAUCUCGUCUUCUCGGUUGCCCCGUAUUCCGCAUCUCGAGUAUUCGACGGGCGUGAGUACCGAGAGGGUCGAAAACGAAGAGUCGUGCGUUUCGUGCAAAGUGUGAAUCGAGACGAAUCGCCGUGAGGAGAAUCUUGGACUUCGAACAUUCGAGAGCUGCGGCCGAAACGGAGCUGGACGGAGCGACCAGCGGCGAACGGUCAUGCGGCGCGGAUUAAGGAAACACGCUGACGUCGGGUGCCCACCCUUGGUUUUCCGUUCUUGUAGGAGCAGAACCUCGGAGUCGACAUCGUGGAACGAAACGCCGGCCGAUCGUCGCGUUAACCGGGGAUACGGCGCCGGGGACAGCCGAUCGAUAUUCCUGGAGAUGGAAAGCGACGAGAAGAGGACAACACCCAUCGUCGCCGACUUACAAUAAAAUAAACGAACCGCAGCCGGUUCGUCGCGUCGCGCGUUUUUUUCCGGGAGUGCCGUUCAAGUAUUGGACUAAUGAACUUUUCAUAACUCCCAUUCGAUAGAAUCCUAAUUCGAGGGCCGGGAAUCGCACCCCCGCUGCUUGGCAGUGAAUAUUCUUACUGGGGCGUUGCGUAUGGUGGGCGUGCGCGCCGCACCGCGACGUUCCAUGCCGAGUGCCCGUGCACGAGGUAAUGCCGGGCCGGAUGUACGACAUGUUCGUGUGCAUGUUGCGCGGCUGUCUGGUUGUGUGAGUUUACACGCUCUGUCUUCGGCGAUCGGUUCGGUCCUAAGCGGUUAGAGUUCGGAUCGGUUGCCUUGGAUUCGCGCGUUUCUCUUGCUCUCGUCCGCCAUCCUAAGGCUUUCUUAGAUCCUUGAUACCCUUUUCGGAUUCUUUGGAUUUGGGGUUCGAGCCAGUGAAUCACGUUUAAUCUGACUUGGUCAGAACUUGGCCUUGUAGGUUAAGCUUGUGACGAGAGGCUGGCUCUCAUUUCCUGAUUCGUCUAAAAUGCCAGACGUCGGCAAUGAGUACCUUCUUCUCUCGUCCUGCCGGAGUGUCUUGUCGACGCCGCUUGGAUAUAGGAUCCAGUGGGACUGAUCUCGAUGAUCCGUUGGCUGGGCGUAUGAACGAGUCAAUUUUAGACGUGACUUUGUGAGACAAGGGGCGUCGGAUUCAAUGCCAUCGAUUUCGUUUUCUUCCGCGUGGGGCUUACCCUUGUUCGGGGGCGGGUACGCGUGCGUUCUACUCGUCGACUCGGGGUGCUGAAUCCACGGGAAUCCCUAUGAAUGGGAACUCAUAUCAUGGGUUUUAUAAACCCGAAGUGCCGCAGUAUCGCGCGAAAAACUUUAUAAAUAAUUAGUCCACGCGCGCAAAUUUAGUAUAUUGUUCGCGAGUGUUUUGCAUAUGCAACGAGAAGAAGAGGCUUAACUACCUGGAGGACUGAGAGGAGGAGGAGGCCUGGGAGAGGCAUCGGGCCCCAGCGGAGCAACCUUGGGUAAUCAUCGCAGCUUCGUGGCUGAUCGACUCCGCUCGUUGCGCAUCGAGUCGGUGAGUCAAAUCAAUUUUCUUAUUACAUUUUAAUGCUUUACAAAUGUCGUGCGCAAGAUCAAAAGAAAGUGUACAACGGAAAGAAAUAGUUUUGAUUAAAAUUUUUAUAAAAAUUUCUGAAAAAUCUUGGAAUUUUUAGGAAAUGGAUUUACUUUUAACACUCUGAUUAUGUUUUUUUAAAGUAAAUAAAUUGUUUGUUCAAAUUAUUUGUUUAAUUUAAACAAAUAGUAUUUU